rnacentral:rRNA from 1 species
UACGAAGGGGGCUAGCGUUGCUCGGAAUUACUGGGCGUAAAGGGCGCGUAGGCGGCACUGUUAGUCAGGCGUGAAAGUCCUGGGCUCAACCUGGGAACUGCGCUUGAUACGGCAGAGCUAGAGGAUGGAAGAGGGUCGCGGAAUUCCCAGUGUAGAGGUGAAAUUCGUAGAUAUUAGGGAGGAACACCGGUGGCGAAGGCGGCGACCUGGUCCAUUACUGACGCUGAGGCGCGACAGCGUGGGGAGCAAACAGG